AACAGAGGAGGGUGAAGCAUGGGCAUUAUUGCAAGCUAUGAAUGAAGCUAAGAGUAGAGGAUUUGAAAGCGUCCAAUUUGAAAGUGACUCUCAAGUGUUGGUUGAUGCUAUUCGUACCAAACGACGAGGCAACUCAAAGUUUCUUUCAAUCGUUAAUGAAAUUAUCCUUGUUAUGCGAUCACGUGUGAACUUUGAAGUUAAGUUUAUUAGAAGACAAGUGA
rnacentral:lncRNA from 1 species